AUUGAACGCUGGCGGCAGGCCUAACACAUGCAAGUCGAGCGGAUGAAGGGAGCUUGCUCCUGGAUUCAGCGGCGGACGGGUGAGUAAUGCCUAGGAAUCUGCCUGGUAGUGGGGGAUAACGUCCGGAAACGGGCGCUAAUACCGCAUACGUCCUGAGGGAGAAAGUGGGGGAUCUUCGGACCUCACGCUAUCAGAUGAGCCUAGGUCGGAUUAGCUAGUUGGUGGGGUAAAGGCCUACCAAGGCGACGAUCCGUAACUGGUCUGAGAGGAUGAUCAGUCACACUAGAACUGAGACACGGUCCAGACUCCUACGGGAGGCAGCAGUGGGGAGUAUUGGACAAUGGGCGAAAGCCUGAUCCAGCCAUGCCGCGUGUGUGAAGAAGGUCUUCGGAUUGUAAAGCACUUUAAGUUGGGAGGAAGGGCAGUAAGUUAAUACCUUGCUGUUUUGACGUUACCAACAGAAUAAGCACCGGCUAACUUCGUG
rnacentral:rRNA from 1 species